GUCUACGGCCAUACCACCCUGAACGCGCCCGAUCUCGUCUGAUCUCGGAAGCUAAGCAGGGUCGGGCCUGGUUAGUACUUGGAUGGGAGAAUCCAGCUGUCCAAAUU
rnacentral:rRNA from 1 species